GGGUUGUUAGCUCAGUCGGUAGAGCAGUUGACUCUUAAUCAAUUGGUCGGAGUUCGAACCUCCCACGACCCACCA
rnacentral:tRNA from 1 species